rnacentral:rRNA from 1 species
UCCGGUGAUCAUAACGAGGGUGUCCACCUGUUCCCAUUUCGAACACAGAAGUUAAGCCCCUUAGUGCCGAUGGUACUGUUUCUUUCGGGAGAUGGGAGAGUAGGAAGUUGCCGGGC